AGCAUCAUUGAUAUGUCAGUAUUUUUAAAAGGUUUCUUGGUUUUAAAAUUAAUUACAGGAAAUUAGAUUGGAAUAUAUUGACACACAAAAUAAUAUACAAGUUGCGCUCUCUCUCUCUCUCUCUCUCUCUCUCUCUCUCUCUCUCUCUCUCUCUCUCUCUCUCUCUCUCUCUCUC